CAGCCGCCGCGGUAAAACCAGCACCUCAAGUGGUCAGGAUGAUUAUUGGGCCUAGAGCAUCCGUAGCCGGCUCUGUAAGUUUUCGGUUAAAUCUGUACGCUCAACGUACAGGCUGCCGGGAAUACUGCAGAGUUAGGGAGUGGGAGAGGUAGACGGUACUCGGUAGGAAGGGGUAAAAUCCUUUGAUCUAUUGAUGACCACCUGUGGCGAAGGCGGUCUACCAGAACACGUCCGACGGUGAGGGAUGAAAGCUGGGGGAGCAAACCGGAUUAGAUACCCGGGUAGUCCCAGCUGUAAACUAUGCAAACUCAGUGAUGCAUUGGCUUGUGGCCAAUGCAGUGCUGCAGGGAAGCCGUUAAGUUUGCCGCCUGGGAAGUACGUACGCAAGUAUGAAACUUAAAGGAAUUGGCGGGGGAGCAC
rnacentral:rRNA from 1 species